AAACUAACAGCUGAACUGGUUCUGUUAACAGUUGGAUGGACUUGCUAUCAGUCCAGUUUUUACUUCAUGUCUACAGAGAAGAAGAACUGGACUGAGAGCAGAAAAUACUGUACAGAGAGAGGAGCAGAUCUGAUCAUCAUAAACAAUAGAGAGGAAAAAGAUUUUGUUCACAACACGUCUGGUAAUGCUGUAUUUUAUAUUGGUCUGACUGACACUGACGUGGAGGGCACAUGGAAAUGGGUUGAUAACAGCACACUGACCUCUAGCUUCUGGGCGUCCAAUGGACAAAUAACCGAGCCAAAUGGAGGA